GUGAGGAAUAUUGGUCAAUGGGCGGGAGCCUGAACCAGCCAAGUCGCGUGAAGGAAGAAGGAUCUAUGGUUCGUAAACUUCUUUUGCAGGGGAAUAAAGUGCAGGACGUGUCCUGUUUUGUAUGUACCCUGAGAAUAAGGAUCGGCUAACUCCGUGCCAGCAGCCGCGGUAAUACGGAGGAUCCGAGCGUUAUCCGGAUUUAUUGGGUUUAAAGGGUGCGUAGGUGGUUUGAUAAGUCAGCGGUGAAAGUUUGCAGCUUAACUGUAAAAAUGCCGUUGAAACUGUCGGACUUGAGUGUAAAUGAGGUAGGCGGAAUGCGUGGUGUAGCGGUGAAAUGCAUAGAUAUCACGCAGAACUCCGAUUGCGAAGGCAGCUUACUAAGCUACAACUGACACUGAAGCACGAAAGCGUGGGGAUCAAACAGGAUUAGAAACCUUGUAGUCC
rnacentral:rRNA from 1 species